UUUUUUUAAGCUGUUCAUUUUCCUUGGAAAAUUGUGAGGAUUGUGGGAGUCCUCAGUUGAAGUUUUGUUUCUCCAAAAAGGAUUUACUCAGCCUUCUGCACAUGAUCUGAAGGGUGCCACGGAGUGUUAACUCAACCCGCAGAGCAGUUGAGGGCUGGCUUGUGGUCAUGCGCUCUCAGGGGAGAUCUUCCCCCACUCCAACACCAAAGUCAAAACACGUGCAGUUCCUCGUGCUCUUUGGCACAGGGGGUUUAUUUCUUGUCUACUUUUACCUUUAGAGUGUAGCUCCUGGGAGGUGGUGCAAGGUUUAGGUGGUGUCUUCGGAUAGACUCCAUGUUGGUGGCACUUCAGUCUUAACAAACCUCAAGCCAUUGCUGCUGUGGAAACAGAAACUCGGGGCUAAAGGUGGUUUGUCGCCUGCUCACUUCCCAAGGUUCUUGCUUUCACUUCGUUUUGGCUUUUGUAGAUUCUCUUCCUUUUGUGUCUGUAUGAGUGUGUGUUUUAAAUGCUUCUGUAUUUUAUCCAGUGCUUUAGUUUCAAUUGAGAAGACAGUUCAGGAUAUCAGGUCUGCCCUUCUGCAAAGAAAGGAAGCCUGGUGUGUUUGCUAUCAUCAUUUUGGUUUUGAUAAGCAGGACACGAGCAGUUUCUGACUGCCGGGUUUGCAGUGUAUGAAUCCUGGUUGCUAUGCAGUUGUUGCUGGAAAAUAGUCUGUGGGCUCAGAGUUUCUAAACCAACCAUUUCUUGGAUGCCCAGAGAAGGAAGGAAAGCGAGGGCCUCGGCUUGCUGAUUACCAACCAUCUCCAUGGCCACAGGUUGCUGGGCUCUCCUCUGUUUUCCCAGCAGCACUCAGGCAGUAAGAGCUUUCUUUUAUCACUUCUCAGUUUUGGGUAUUUGUUUGUAAGAGAAAGGACUGUGUACCUGCUUGUGGAGACACGUGUGACACAAGGCAAGGGACGAAUGGGAGGAGAGAGCCGACUCCAAGCAUAACAGAUUGUUUCCAUAGGACCCUACAGAAACAACUAACCUAUUUUUGUUUUUGCUUUUACAGGGGCUGGGGGAAGGAGAGGAACAUAACUCAUUCAGGUCUGAAUUUUUAAAGUUGGAGUAUUUAUUCUGCCUCGUAAAUGAUCCACAUUUAAAUCACCUGAAUUAGGGAAGAUGUUUUAAAAAUUGUAGAAUUUUUAAAAUUCUACAUCUGGCAUAAUUUUAGUAUGACUUUUCUUCUAGUUUUUAAGCUUCAACAGAGGCCCCAAAGGCUGAGAACAACACUAUAGGUUAAGCCCCUUUCCAUUCUGAAGCAAGAUGCAAGAUAGUCUGUGUUAGUCGUUAUAUAUUUAGGAAUUGGCUCUAUAAAGAUUGCAGAGGCCAAUCCCAAGAUCUGCAGUGGGCAAGCUGGAGACCCAGAAGAGCCAAAGGUGCAGUUUAGUUCAAAUCCAACAGACCAAGAAGCAGGAGAACGUGUGGUCUAAAUUCCAGUCUGAAAACUGGGAGCCUCAAGGCCAAAAGAAUGAAUAAUGUUUUAGGUCAAGGCUGAAGGCAGGAAAAGAUUAUUGUUCCAGGGUAAGCCCUCAGGCAGGAGGAAUUCCCUCUUACUCAUGGGAGGGUCAGCAUUUGGUUCUAUUCAGGCCUUCAACUGAUUGGAUAAGGCACACACACUUUAAGAAAGGCAAUCUACUCAAUCUCAUGAUUUAAAUGAAUGUUAAUGUCUUCUAGGUACACUCUCACAGACAUGUCUGGAAUGGUGUUUGGCCAAAUAUCUGUGUACCUCAUGAUUCAGUCAAAUUGAAAUCAACUCUCAUAGGUGCAAAAGAAAUACAGAACAGGUAGGAUAAACUAAAAGUGCACAGUGGGAUGGUAGGUUUAUACUCAUGCCUCUUGGUAACUGUAUCAAAUAUUAACAGAGCAAAUGCUCCAGUAUGAAAAAAAAUUAAAACAGACAAAACAAAAAAUCACAAAAUUUAAGAAAUUGCUGUUUAUAAGAGCCACAUCUAAAGCAAUAGGGCUUAGAAAAGUUCAAAGCAAAUGAAUUGAGAUACACACACUGACCAAAUAAGUGAAUAAAUGAAAACUGAUAUAACUGAUGUUAAA
rnacentral:lncRNA from 1 species